rnacentral:rRNA from 1 species
UACGAAGGGGCUAGCGUUGCUCGGAAUUACUGGGCGUAAAGGGCGCGUAGGCGGAUAUCUAAGUUGGGGGUGAAAUCCCGGGGCUCAACCCUCGGAACUGGCCUUUGAUACUGCAAAUCUCGAGUCCGGAAGAGGUGAAGUGGAAUUCCUAGUGUAGAGGUGAAAUUCGUAGAUAUUAGGAAGAACACCAGUGGCGAAGGCGGCUCACUGGUCCGGUACUGACGCUGAGGUGCGAAAGCGUGGGGGAGCAAACAGG